GAUGAAGAACGCAGCGAAAUGCGAUAAGUAAUGUGAAUUGCAGAAUUCAGUGAAUCAUCGAAUCUUUGAACGCACAUUGCGCCCGCCAGUAUUCUGGCGGGCAUGCCUGUUCGAGCGUCAUUUCAACCAUCAAGCCCCCGGCUUGUGUUGGGGACCUGCGGCUGCCGCAGGCCCUGAAAAGCAGUGGCGGGCUCGCUGUCACACCGAGCGUAGUAGAUUUCAUCUCGCUCAGGGCGUGCUGCGGGUUCCGGCCGUUAAACCACCUUCAUAACCCAAGGUUGACCUCGGAUCAGGUAGGAAGACCCGCUGAACUUAAGCAUAUCAAUAAGCGGAGA
rnacentral:misc_RNA from 1 species